CAUACCUAUGUCCUUGGAACUUAAGUCAGAAUCCCCAGAACAUCCCAGAACUAAGAACAAACACUGUCGUCGCUGAAACUAAUUGUGUAUUGGGUUGCCUAGCAACUCUGGGUUGUUAUGUGACUAACUCCUGGCCUGGACACAUCUUGCCUAUGGGCCCUGAAAUGAAGCAGAGAUCAAGGAGCUGCAGGUGAGGUGACUCAGAAGACUGAAGGAUGCAAUGUUUCAGAACAAGCUGGAGAUAAAGUCCACCGAAGUCAUCCUUCCAGCAAGGUCUGCUGAGUCUCUCAGCCUGGUUCCAGUGGGGGUCCGAGAGGAGCUACAGUCACUUUCCACCCUUUGUCACUGCUCUUAAACUGGGCGCUGUUCCUGGGGACAACAUGAUGCCCGUGCCCUAGGGAUAUAACGUGGCCAACUGCUCCCAGCUUCUGACAACUCCCCCACCACAAUGGACCAUCACCGGGAACUGAGUUAAAAAUAAAGCUUUUGUCUCUUAA